CCUGACGCAGCAACGCCGCGUGGGUGAAGAAGGCUCUUGGGUCGCAAAGCUCUUUUGUUGGGGAAGAAGCACUGACGGUACACAACGAAUAAGCCUCGGCUAACUACGUGCCAGCAGACGCGGUAAUACGUAGGAGGCAAGCGUUAUCCGGAUUC
rnacentral:rRNA from 1 species